UACAGAGGUCUCGAGCGUUGUUCGGAUUCAUUGGGCGUAAAGGGUGCGUAGGUGGCUAGGUAAGUCGGAUGUGAAAUCCCGGGGCUCAACCCCGGAACUGCAUUCGAUACUGCUUGGCUAGAGUACUGGAGAGGAGAUUGGAAUUUACGGUGUAGCAGUGAAAUGCGUAGAUAUCGUAAGGAAGACCAGUGGCGAAGGCGGAUCUCUGGACAGUUACUGACACUGAGGCACGAAGGCCAGGGGAGCAAACGGG
rnacentral:rRNA from 1 species